GACGAACCGUGCGAACGUUGUUCGGAAUCACUGGGCUUAAAGGGCGCGUAGGCGGGCCGGCCAGUCGGAGGUGAAAGCCCCCAGCUUAACUGGGGAAGUGCCCCCGAUACUGCCGGCCUGGAGGGGGGUAGGGGCGUGCGGAACUUCCGGUGGAGCGGUGAAAUGCGUAGAUAUCGGAAGGAACACCGGUGGCGAAGGCGGCACGCUGGGCCCACCCUGACGCUGAGGCGCGAAAGCCAGGGGAGCGAACGGG
rnacentral:rRNA from 1 species